UACGGAGGGUGCAAGCGUUGCUCGGAAUUACUGGGCGUAAAGGGGAGGUAGGCGGUCUCGUAUGUCUGGAGUGAAAUCCCGGGGCUUAACUCCGGAGGGUCUUCAGAAACUACGGGACUAGAGUGUUGGAGAGGGUCGCAGAAUUCCCGGUGUAGCGGUGAAAUGCGUAGAGAUCGGGAGGAAUACCAGAGGCGAAGGCGGCGACCUGGACAAUUACUGACGCUAAACUCCGAAAGCGUGGGGAGCAAACAGG
rnacentral:rRNA from 1 species